rnacentral:lncRNA from 1 species
UGUGCGUGCUUCUUCCAUGUCGGUUUGGUGCGCCAUUUUGUCUUUUUUUUUGCGUGGCGUGCGAGUGCCUGUGCAACGCGCGUGUGUGCUUUGGAGCUGCAGCCUCAAGUCGAGUGCACGGGUAAAGGUUCACAGGACAGGUCUGAAAGGUCAACCUCAAUCAUAUUUGGCUGUGGAUAUCACUGCAACUUUGGCACUCGACCAAGCGAGGUACAUUGGACAGAUCAACCGGACCAAAAGGCGGGGUAAAAGAGAAGGGAGCGGAAUAGGACCAAGGGUGCUCAGCCUUAUCAAAGCGCUUUGAAUAAUAAAUGUGCAAGUAUUGACAAAAGCUUUCGUUGCAUAUUUUAUUAGGUACUACCCAUGUCGAGUGAUGGUCGCAUGGUGAGGUAGACCACUCUACAGUUCAUAGUGACA